rnacentral:rRNA from 1 species
GAUGAACGCUGGCGGCGUGCCUAAUACAUGCAAGUCGAGCGAACGGACGAGAAGCUUGCUUCUCUGAUGUUAGCGGCGGACGGGUGAGUAACACGUGGAUAACCUACCUAUAAGACUGGGAUAACUUCGGGAAACCGGAGCUAAUACCGGAUAAUAUUUUGAACCGCAUGGUUCAAAAGUGAAAGACGGUCUUGCUGUCACUUAUAGAUGGAUCCGCGCUGCAUUAGCUAGUUGGUAAGGUAACGGCUUACCAAGGCAACGAUGCAUAGCCGACCUGAGAGGGUGAUCGGCCACACUGGAACUGAGACACGGUCCAGACUCCUACGGGAGGCAGCAGUAGGGAAUCUUCCGCAAUAGGCGAAAGCCUGACGGAGCAACGCCGCGUGAGUGAUGAAGGUCUUCGGAUCGUAAAACUCUGUUAUUAGGGAAGAACAUAUGUGUAAGUAACUGUGCACAUCUUGACGGUACCUAAUCAGAAAGCCACGGCUAACUACGUGCCAGCAGCCGCGGUAAUACGUAGGUGGCAAGCGUUAUCCGGAAAUUAUGGGCGUAAAGCGCGCGUAGGCGGUUUUUUAGUCUGAUGUGAAAACCCACGGCUCAACCGUGGAGGGUCAUUGGAAACUGGAAAACUUGAGUGCAGAAGAGGAAAGUGGAAUUCCAUGUGUAGCGGUGAAAUGCGCAGAGAUAUGGAGGAACACCAGUGGCGAAGGCGACUUUCUGGUCUGUAACUGACGCUGAUGUGCGAAAGCGUGGGGAUCAAACAGGAUUAGAUACCCUGGUAGUCCACGCCGUAAACGAUGAGUGCUAAGUGUUAGGGGGUUUCCGCCCCUUAGUGCUGCAGCUAACGCAUUAAGCACUCCGCCUGGGGAGUACGACCGCAAGGUUGAAACUCAAAGGAAUUGACGGGGACCCGCACAAGCGGUGGAGCAUGUGGUUUAAUUCGAAGCAACGCGAAGAACCUUACCAAAUCUUGACAUCCUUUGACAACUCUAGAGAUAGAGCCUUCCCCUUCGGGGGACAAAGUGACAGGUGGUGCAUGGUUGUCGUCAGCUCGUGUCGUGAGAUGUUGGGUUAAGUCCCGCAACGAGCGCAACCCUUAAGCUUAGUUGCCAUCAUUAAGUUGGGCACUCUAAGUUGACUGCCGGUGACAAACCGGAGGAAGGUGGGGAUGACGUCAAAUCAUCAUGCCCCUUAUGAUUUGGGCUACACACGUGCUACAAUGGACAAUACAAAGGGCAGCGAAACCGCGAGGUCAAGCAAAUCCCAUAAAGUUGUUCUCAGUUCGGAUUGUAGUCUGCAACUCGACUACACGAAGCUGGAAUCGCUAGUAAUCGUAGAUCAGCAUGCUACGGUGAAUACGUUCCCGGGUCU